UACGUAGGGGGCGAGCGUUGUCCGGAGUUACUGGGCGUAAAGCGCACGCAGGCGGUCUGUUAAGUUUGGAGUGACAGUUGGUGGCUUAACUGCCAAAGUGCUUCGAAAACUGACAGACUUGAGGGCUUCAGAGGGACACGGAAUUCCGGGUGGAGUGGUGAAAUGCGUAGAGAUCCGGAAGAACACCAAAGGCGAAGGCACCAUCCUGGGGAGUCACUGACGCUCGGGUGCGGAAGCUAGGGGAGCGAACGGG
rnacentral:rRNA from 1 species